UUGCCUGAGAAGCCCCACUCUGCACCUUAUAUGCAGUUUUGGUACAUAAGGACCGCAGGUGCCCGUCAGGAAGGACACUAUUUUUGUUCUGUUAAGGUGAACUCCCCCCAGGUAUCCUGUAGCUGGACUCUGUGCCCUGUCUCCUUUGCUGUGUGCCUCAGGCUCUUCCCCAAGGCUCACAAACAAGAGAUACGCAACAUUCAUGUUGCCUGAGGUAAAUCCAUCGCCGCUGCCCCGGUCCCUGAGCACACGGGAGCGUGGAAGCACUCCCUUAUUCCCCUCAGUGCCCUCCUUCUGCCUGAGGGCGGGGGAGAUCCUUCAUUCCUUAAACUGAAACGGCCUAAGGGAUGGUAGAGUAUGAUUCUUCCCCUCCUUCCUCCGCUCCCUUGUCUCUGUCGGGGCUCCUUUUACCAGAGUCGCACGCCGCGGGUUGCUCUGCGCUUUCAGGCCCGAGCACCGCGUCCGGCCCGCUCCCCAGCGCCUCCUCCUGUCAGCGAAGAAAAUGGCGCCUGCCGCCGCUGCUCCCGCGCAACUCUCUUCGGGAACUCUCGCGAGAGCCCGAUCCCCCCAAAAAUCUCGCGAGUGCACCGCCCUCCCUCCCUCGUCUUCUCAUGAAAUCUCGCGAGAGCGUCGCCACCCCGCUCUCCAGGAACUCUCGCGUGAGCACCGCCCUCCCGCGUCUCCUCAGGAACUCUCGCGAGAACGGCACCUCCCGUUACUACAGGAAAUGGCGGCCGCCAAAGCGGUUCCCGCGCGCGUCUUCUCGGGAACUCUCGCGAGAGCCCAGCGUAAUGGCGGCGCCCUGUCAGUUUCCCGCCUCAGGAAGGCCCCUCUGUGGAACUUUUUUUUGGCGGCGGUGUCUCUGUCUGAAAAUCGCCCUUUUCCUGAAAAUCCCCCAUUCCCGGGCUCUGUUACCUCAGGGAGCGCAGAAGCUGAGCGAGGCCUCGAGGAACAACAUUUCAACAGAGGCGGGACAAAAGCUGUGAAACGGAGCAGGGAGCCCUUCCCUGGGGGCUCCUCAAUCUUCAGUUGUGGCUGCAGACGCCUGUUCCGUCCCUUCCCCACCCCGAUGCAUUACACUCCAUUCCCUCCCCUAUGCGCUGCACGGCGGCUUCCACCACCCCCAUCUCCCCCCAUGCACUGCGCCCCAUUCCCUCCCCGUGCAUUGCACCUCGGUUUUCCCCCCACAUGCGCUACACCGUUUUCCCUCGUCCAUUGCACCCCACGACCCUCUCCUCCGUCUGACACCCCCCGCUUUCCCCAUCCGUCACACCCCGCCCCCCCAUGCACUGCACCCCAAUUCCACUCCCCACGCGCUGCACCCCGGUGCUUCCCCCCUCAUUCCUCUCACCCUCCGCCCAGUCUCCUCCCAUGCGCUGCACCCCGCUUUCCCCACGCACUCGCAUCCCAGCUCCUCCCCGUGCACCGGACCCCGCUUUCCCCUCCGUUUGCACCGCGCUCCCCAGCGCGCGUUGCACCGCAUUUCCCGCCCCCAUUCCCCGCGCGCGGCCCCGCCCUUUCCCGCCUCGCCCCGCCCUCCCUUUCCCCGCCCCCCCGUGACGUCACGCCACGGGAUGGGCGUGACCGAUGUUUUCGUGUGGGCGUGGCUUAAUCCCACGGUGGGCGUGGCUCGAUCCCCGUGUGGGCGUGGCGCGGCGGCGCCGUGACGUCGCUGCAGCGCGGUGAGGUCAGUGCGGCGCCGCUGCCGGACCGCUGCCCCUCGGAGGCGCUCCCCCCGCCCCCCUCCUCCUCCUCCCCGACCGCUCCGCGACGCCUCCCGGGUCCCGGCGGCGGG
ensembl:lncRNA